UUUCUACUCCCUCCGUCCGAAAAUACUUGUCAUCAAAAUGGAUAAAAAGAGAUGUAUCUAAAACUAAAAUACGUCUAGAUACAUUUCCUUUUAUCCAUUUUGAUGACAAGUAUUUCCGGACGGAGGGAGUAUUUG
rfam:Triticum urartu cultivar G1812 contig459582, whole genome shotgun sequence.